rnacentral:rRNA from 1 species
UACGGGGGGGGGCAAGCGUUGUUCGGAAUUACUGGGCGUAAAGGGCUCGUAGGUGGCCAACUAAGUCAGACGUGAAAUCCCUCGGCUUAACCGGGGAACUGCGUCUGAUACUGGAUGGCUUGAGUUUGGGAGAGGGAUGCGGAAUUCCAGGUGUAGCGGUGAAAUGCGUAGAUAUCUGGAGGAACACCGGUGGCGAAGGCGACGUCCUGGACCGGCAUUGACGCUGAGGCGCGAAAGCCAGGGGAGCAAACGGG